AGAAUUAUUAGAAAUCUGAAGGCUGCAAAUAUUAAUGUACCAUUAUGUUGUACAGCAAUCUGAACAGCAAAUACUGAUCAUGGCUUGAAUCAUCGCAUAACUGAAUGUGUAACAGUGUUAUAACAAGCGUAGUUAGACAUCUUUAAAAGUGGCUGUCUGGGUUUGGAUUGGCAGGGUUAACAAUUUUUGUCAUAUAUAAUUCUGCUCUGCAGUGUCGUAACUCAUCCAGUUGAUGGUGCCAAUUCACCAGAAAUCCCUUUUAAAUGGGACAAGAAGUUGCUGCACGUUUGUGUUGAACAUUUGACAACCUCCGCUCCCCUGAAGAGACAUGCUGAGGGUUUGCUCCAGAAUUCACAAGACUUGAAGGCCUCCUCAUUUACUGCUCCACAUUCUGUGGCCAGUUGUGCUUUGCUAUCUGGGCCUUGUACAGAUGCCAGUGGAAGAUUCAGCAGCAAUACUGUCUCGGAGAGAAAGACAAGCACAAAACAUGAGGGAGACCAGAACUGCAUGCAAUAUUCCAAAAGUG